GCUGUUAAGGGUUCGUAGUUGAAUUCAGAGUUGCGAGAUUUUGCUACUUCGGUAGCCUUUCUUCCCACUCUGUCAUAGACGGGGCCGGAGUCUGCGGAAGUGGACCUUCACUGGUUCGCGGUGCUGUUCAGUGAAGAGCUGAACAUUACACAGGCGACGCCUGUUUGACCGCCCGUCGUUUCACUGUGAAGAAAACAGCGUGUUCAAAGCAACCGCUUGCGGUUGAAUGACAAAGCUGGAAUGACAAAGCAUCGACCAGUUGGUCUGUCUUUUGUCGGUUUUUGCGACCAAUUUGGGUAUCUGUUUACGAAGCCUUCCCUCACCGUUCUACCGGUGUGGGAACUUCGUCGAACACGGGUUAAUGGGGGUUGUCGGGGGAAGACGUAUCUGAGCGUGAGAGGUGAAAUUCUUAGCCGCUCGGGGACGAACUUAUGCGAAGGCAUCUUCCAAGUAUACCUUCAUCAAUCAAGAACUAAGUGUGGAGAUCGAAGAUGAUUAGAUACCAUUGUAGUCC
rnacentral:rRNA from 1 species